rnacentral:rRNA from 1 species
AUGCACCGUGGCGGACCUGGAGAUACGGCAUAUCCGGGUGGACAGCUACAAGCAGGACGGCGGCCGCACGCACGAGCAAGAGCAGCAGCACAUGAACUCCGGCGGCGGCGGCGGGCGCAAGCUGAAGCAGAUGCCGAUGAUCAUGGCGGUGUGGGUGUACAACCACUGCCCGUGCAUGGUGGACAACGUGGUGAUCUACGCGCCCCACGGCUUCUCCACCAUCUACGCCAACGGGACCGACGAGAGGAUCUUCUCCAAGGUGCGGGAGCACCUCUACCUCAUCCACAACGCCGGCCCGCUCCUGCCAGCGGCGAGCUGCCCGCGUUUCCCACCCUCUCCGCCCUCUGCCGCCGGCCCGGUCGAUGGGAAGGCGCAAACUCAAGAUUUUAG